rnacentral:rRNA from 1 species
GGGGGACCUUCGGGCCUCUUGCCAUCGGAUGUGCCCAGAUGGGAUUAGCUUGUUGGUGGGGUAACGGCUCACCUAGGCGACGAUCCCUAGCUGGUCUGAGAGGAUGACCAGCCACACUGGAACUGAGACACGGUCCAGACUCCUACGGGAGGCAGCAGUGGGGAAUAUUGCACAAUGGGCGCAAGCCUGAUGCAGCCAUGCCGCGUGUAUGAAGAAGGCCUUCGGGUUGUAAAGUACUUUCAGCGGGGAGGAAGGGAGUAAAGUUAAUACCUUUGCUCAUUGACGUUACCCGCAGAAGAAGCACCGGCUAACUCCGUGCCAGCAGCCGCGGUAAUACGGAGGGUGCAAGCGUUAAUCGGAAUUACUGGGCGUAAAGCGCACGCAGGCGGUUUGUUAAGUCAGAUGUGAAUCCCCGGGCUA